AUCAAUCACUGUUGUGUAGUGUUUUUUUUAGUACAGGGUGCAGAGUAUUCUUUUAGUAGGAAAGCCUUGAGAUAUUUUUUGCCCGGUGCAACGCACGGGCAUUUGUACUAGUCUUUAAAAAAAAUUAUAUUUAGUAACGGAUGGAGUAGCUAAUUGUUCUCCAUUCAUCGCUAAUUGUUCUCCAUUCAUCCUUCCCUUCAAUUCAUAAUAUGCACUGUACAGCUCUAACUUUGCUACAUGUGCACGAGAAGAUAGACAAUCAUCAUUUGUCCUCCCCAAACUCGAACCUUCUGUACGGCUGUUGUGCCCCCAUACUAAGACGGCUGGCCAUAGGGAUUGAGCCCGGAUGUGACCGCCUCAGAUCCUAUGGGUUCACACGACCCGGCCAAAACACCAAGCGGAAGCAAGCCAGCACAGGCAACCGGCGAAUCUGCACACAAGCCUUUCGGAUGAACAGAAGACAACGUUCAUACGACGCCGG
rnacentral:lncRNA from 1 species